CGAUUGUGAUGAUGAUGAUGAUGAUGAUGAUGAUGAUGAUGAGUAGGAGAGUCAUUAUCAUCAUCAUCAUCAUCAUCAUCAUUGUAA
rnacentral:pre_miRNA from 1 species